GUCAGCCUACUUCAAAACUUUGGAAAAUAAAAUUUCUGUUGAUCCAGACAAGAUUUCUGGAAAAACAUUUUAAGAACAACCUGUUGGAAAUGCUUUGAGAAAUUGCUAACCGAUUUUUGAACAUCCGGCCUCUGGUUAACAUUUUCCUAGUUAGUGUAAGUAAUAGUAUGGUUUCGAGUGCAAUUUGGAAAAAACAUGCACGGUCAGGGGCGCCGGAAGCAAUGUAAAGCGGAGGGGGCAGCCAUUUCAAAAGGGCACUUCAUUUUUCUGAGCGGCAAUACUUGUUAAAACUUUACUGAAUGGAUACUCGAUUACUUGUGGCUAUUAUGGUCGGCAAACCUCGACCUUAAUUUUGAACAAUUUUAUUUGUUGGUGCGAAAUAAAAUCAGUAAACGGACGUAUAUUGCUUGAUUUAGCAUUAAUUUUACUGCAACUGGUUAAAAAUAAAGCAAAGAUUGCUUAAACAUUGCUUAAGAAUAGUUAUAAAUUCCAAUUUCUGUGAAUAACGAACAAAUUUCGAACUGCAGCUCCGGUAAAAAGGGCAACCUGUUGCCCAUGCUGCCCCCGCACUGUUUGGGCAGUGGGGGCAGUUGCCCCCGCUGCCCCCGUGGCUCCGGCGCCCCUGCAUGCACGAGUGCCUUUAGGAGACAUUAGAGAGGUUCAGAUUUAACUUCCACUAGAGCAACCGUCACUGGCUUAGUAUGCAUCUGAUUGGUUAAUUGUAUAUAUCAAACGCAGGUGAUUGGUUGAUAGUCCCGGUAGUCAAAUCUGAACCUCACUAUUGUUUACCAAAGGGUUAUUAUAUAUAACGUGAAAUUAUAGGAGAAAAAUUCCAUAAUUUCAUAUACCCCAGGCCCAGUGUGUGCAUACACCUAUAGUUAUCAUACAAG